GACGAACGCUGGCGGCGUGCUUAACACAUGCAAGUCGAGCGGUAAGGCCUUUCGGGGUCCACGAGCGGCGAACGGGUGAGUAACACGUUGGUGAUCUGCCCUGCACUUCGGGAUAAGCCUGGGAAACUGGGUCUAAUACCGGAAAUGACCUCCUAUCGCAUGGUGGGUGGGGGAAAGAUUUAUCGGUGCAGGAUGGGCCCGCGGCCUAUCAGCUUGUUGGUGGGGUAAUGGCUUACCAAGGCGACGCCUGGUAGCCGACCUGAGAGGGUGACCGGCCACACGGGUCCUGAGACACGGCCCAGACUCCUACGGGAGGCAGCAGUCGGGAAUAUUGCACAAUGGGCGAAAGCCUGAUGCGGCGACCCCGCGUGAGGGAUGACGGCCUUCGGGUUGUAAACCUCUUUCUGCAGAGACGAAGCGCAAGUGACGGUACCUGCAGAAGAAGCACCGGCUAACUACGUG
rnacentral:rRNA from 1 species